AGAAAGGUGGGGAUGCACUUUCUGCUUCCAAAAGUUUGGGGAAUUGCGUGGCUACUGUAACUGUGGAUUUUCUGUUCAUUGUCCUACCCAUACUUUUCUUUUUAACUGUUUUGGCAGAAUGGACAUUUAUANNNNNNNNNNNACUCAUUUUCUCCAUUACAACUAAAAGGGUUGUAACAUCUACUUCUUGUUCUGAAGGGUCCUUUUCUCUCAGGACAGUCAUUUCCUCAUACAGGGUUGUUGUGAUGGUUGUGACUUGCCUU
rnacentral:misc_RNA from 1 species